rnacentral:lncRNA from 1 species
GUGAGCAGUGCUGACCCUACACUGCGUCACAGCACAGUGGCCUCAUCAGAACCAAGACGACCAACCUUCUCCAGAGAAUGGACUUCUGUUGGGAGACUCUCCUCUUUCUACAAACAAAAUGGCCAGCUUGUUGAGAAUUUUUAGUACCAUUUGCAGAGCUCUCCAUAAUGUGAUACAGACUCUGGCCUGAAGAAAGCACAAAAUAAACAUGAACAAAUCAUAACUGUGCUUCAGUAGGAUCACCGAGAGCCAAGAUACAGAUUUGUGAGAUAACUACAAGUUUUGGUAUCAGGAUGAUGCUGGACUCAUAAAAUGAAUUAGGGAGGAGUCCCUCCUUUUCAAUUGUUUUUCCAUCUAUCCAUCUGACAAAGGUCUAAUAUCCAGAAUCUACAAGGAACUCAAACAAAUUUACAAGAAAAAAAACUAUUAAAAAGUGGUCAGAAAACAUGAACAGACACUUCUCAAAAUAAGACAUUUAUACAACCACCAAACAUAUGAAGGAAAAGCUCAACAUCAUUGAUCAUUAGAGAAAUGCAAAUCAAAACCACAAUGAGAUAUAUCACAUCAGUCAGAAUGGCCCUUAUUAAAAAGUCAAGAAACAUCGAAUGCUGGAAAGAUUGUGCAGAAAUAGGAAUGCUUUUACACUGUUGGUUGGAAUGUAAAUCACUUCAAUCAUUGUGGAAGAUG